CACAGAUGAAGAAUAACGGGACUGACGGCGAAACCAUUGAAGAAAACACACAAACGAUGAACCAGGAGACGAAUACAAACCAGCAGCUGUUUUCUUUUCAUAUGUAUGAGGCUCACACACACAUUUCUGCAUAUUUCUGUGGGAAACUCCUAGAGAAAAUCUACGAUACACGGAGAACACGCUCAGACGUCUUUACUGUACACA